rnacentral:rRNA from 1 species
AAGCGCAGGCUACCAUGCAAGUCGAACGGUGAGCACACAAGAGCUUGCUCUCGGGUGACGAGUGGCGGACGGGUGAGUAAUGUCUGGGAAACUGCCCGAUGGAGGGGGAUAACUACUGGAAACGGUAGCUAAUACCGCAUAAUGUCGCAAGACCAAAGAGGGGGACCUUCGGGCCUCUUGCCAUCGGAUGUGCCCAGAUGGGAUUAGCUAGUAGGUGGGGUAACGGCUCACCUAGGCGACGAUCCCUAGCUGGUCUGAGAGGAUGACCAGCCACACUGGAACUGAGACACGGUCCAGACUCCUACGGGAGGCAGCAGUGGGGAAUAUUGCACAAUGGGCGCAAGCCUGAUGCAGCCAUGCCGCGUGUAUGAAGAAGGCCUUCGGGUUGUAAAGUACUUUCAGCGAGGAGGAAGGCGUUGUGGUUAAUAACCACAGCGAUUGACGUUACUCGCAGAAGAAGCACCGGCUAACUCCGUGCCAGCAGCCGCGGUAAUACGGAGGGUGCAAGCGUUAAUCGGAAUUACUGGGCGUAAAGCGCACGCAGGCGGUCUGUCAAGUCGGAUGUGAAAUCCCCGGGCUCAACCUGGGAACUGCAUCCGAAACUGGCAGGCUAGAGUCUUGUAGAGGGGGGUAGAAUUCCAGGUGUAGCGGUGAAAUGCGUAUAGAUCUGGAGGAAUACCGGUGGCGAAAGCGGCCCCCUGGACAAAGACUGACGCUCAGGUGCGAAAGCGUGUGGAGCAAACAGGAUUAGAUACCCUGGUAGUCCACGCCGUAAACGAUGUCGACUUGGAGGUUGUGCCCUUGAGGCGUGGCUUCCGGAGCUAACACGUUAAGUCGACAGCCUGGGGAGUACGCCCGCAAGGUUAAAACUCAAAUGAAUUUACGGGG